rnacentral:rRNA from 1 species
AACGAACGCUGGCGGCAGGCUUAACACAUGCAAGUCGAGCGCCCCGCAAGGGGAGCGGCAGACGGGUGAGUAACGCGUGGGAAUCUACCGUGCCCUACGGAAUAGCUCCGGGAAACUGGAAUUAAUACCGUAUACGCCCUACGGGGGAAAGAUUUAUCGGGGUAUGAUGAGCCCGCGUUGGAUUAGCUAGUUGGUGGGGUAAAGGCCUACCAAGGCGACGAUCCAUAGCUGGUCUGAGAGGAUGAUCAGCCACAUUGGGACUGAGACACGGCCCAAACUCCUACGGGAGGCAGCAGUGGGGAAUAUUGGACAAUGGGCGCAAGCCUGAUCCAGCCAUGCCGCGUGAGUGAUGAAGGUCUUAGGAUUGUAAAGCUCUUUCACCGGUGAAGACAAUGACGGUAACCGGAGAAGGAGCCCCGGCUAACUUCGUGCCAGCAGCCGCGGUAAAAC